rnacentral:rRNA from 1 species
UGGGGAAUAUUGGACAAUGGAGGAAACUCUGAUCCAGCAAUUCUGUGUGUGUGAAGAAGGUUUUAGGACUGUAAAACACUUCUAGUAGGGAAGAAAAAAAUGACGGUACCUACAGAAGAAGCAACGGCUAAAUACGUGCCAGCAGCCGCGGUAAUACGUAUGUUGCGAGCGUUAUCCGGAAUUAUUGGGCUUAAAGGGCAUCUAGGCGGUAAGACAAGUUGAAGGUGAAAACCUGUGGCUCAACCAUAGGCUUGCCUACAAAACUGUUGAACUAGAGUACUGGAAAGGUGGGUGGAACUACACGAGUAGAGGUGAAAUUCGUAGAUAUGUGUAGGAAUGCCGAUGAUGAAGAUAACUCACUGGACAGAAGCUGACGCUGAAGUGCGAAAGCUAGGGGAGCAAACAGG